AUCCCCCAGGUGUUGUGCAUGUAAAUUCUCAGGCACUCACAAAAAUUCUGGAAGGAUCAAAAAGGGCAAAGAGCCACUAUUUUCUCAAGAAUAACAUUUUGAAAGAGGCAACAGAGAUGUUUGGUGCUUAUCUCGAGGGUGGCAAUCACUGGAGCUUUUUUCAUUGCAAUUUUGACAGAAGGUGCAUCACCUACUUCAACUCCCUUGGAGAGACAGAGUGGCAGUGCCAAGCAGUUGCUCAACACUGGUGUACAUUUGCAGCUUCAAGGGGGGUGAAAGGAGAGUGGGACAUUAAAACCACAAAACACACUUUACAAUCCGAUUCCGUGUCAUGUGGUAUCCACACACUUGCAAUCGAACAAAAAAAUGUGGAAUUUGUGCCAAAAACAUUUCAGGCAAAAAGACAAAGGCAUGUACCUGUGGGGCAGUGAUGCAUCUAGAGUGUGCAGGCACACUCAUGUGCUACAUUUGUCAAGGUAAA